GGUAAAUCUACGCCUUGGUGACCGCAUUCUUUUUAUCAUGGAAGCUAAGAAUCUUAUGCUGCUUUCACAUGUAUCAUUUUCUUCAACUCUAAUACACAAGGGCAAAUUGUGAUCAAGUAUCAAACAUUGCAAGGAAGAAUCGGAAAUGCCUGAAUUUGUUCUCUUUAAGGCGAAAAUGAAUUGACGCAAGUUUCUUGAAGGAUUUCUACUUCUUAUUGGCUUUUUGGCUUAUAACUGAUACAAUCUAAGAUAUUGUAUUGUUGGGCUGAGAAGUGAAGUAUUUUUGCUUAUAAGGUUGUUAACAUAAGAGUGCCUCUAGUACGAGAUAGGUUAACUGCUGAUGACUAAAAGAAAUUCACCGAUAGAAUAUCUGUUAAGGAUCAGAUCUGAAAAAAUCUCUCGAAUAGAGAUGAGAGCAGAAUUGUAGA
rnacentral:misc_RNA from 1 species